UCACCAUGAUCCCAAAUAAGUAAAUGGUGCAAAUUUGACGCUUCAGAACCUUCAAGGGUCAAUUUGACUGAAACUUCAUACUUUACUAAACUAGUAUUUCAUAAAGUGCCACUUAAACUCUGAUGCUAAUACUUUUUUUUUUUUUUUUUUUAAUUCAAAGUUGGGCUACUCGGCCCAUUUAUUUAAAACCCAAAAGUAAUUGUUUAUACCCGGGUCAAGAGUGAUCCGGUCCAUAAAAGCAACAAUAAAAUCUACCAGAAAUAUCUGAUCUUAAAAAAUGUGGAAAAAGGAAAGUUACCACACCUUCCAUCCACUAUACCAAACUAUUGCUGCUGCCACCAUUAAUGAGCUGCUCUUGUCCAUCUUUUUUGAAAAUUCCAUUGAAAUGAUACUCCUUCAAACGGUUCUCAAGAUCUCCCUUCAAUUGGUUCCUUCAGAUCCGAAGUUUGGGAAUAUUUACAUACCAACCAAGCUGAACUACGGUUGCUAUUUAACCUCCAAGUUGCAAUGAUACUACGGUUGCUUCCAGGUAUCAUUCAAUCCCAUGAAAAGGAUCUUAAUACAGUAUUUGACCUCUUUGAUAACAGCAGAUUCUAAGAUCGUUUAGAUUCUUUAAAUAUCAUCUUUAAUGGAUUCAGCCCAAAUCAGGUUAAUACCACCAUCUUAAGUAACGCCACUUAGAAUUAGCCAUAUCUUCUGUGAAUGAACACUAAUCAUUAGACAAGUAAACACAUUACUAAUAACCCAUGAGUCCUGGUAACAUACCAUAAUUAACACCUCAAGCUCUCACCAGGUGCAUGGUAUAGUGACCAACUGAAAAUUAUUCAGACAUCACAAGUAUAUUAGUAGUUGUUUACUUAUCUUUCUGAUUAUUGUCCAUUAUAGUCAUUGUUAAACAAUAUCAACUACCUUAUGAUGUUGCACCUGCAUCCUUUGUUUGUCUGAUCCUCAAAUUAGGACAACUCUGCUUAUCAAGGAGAAUGAUUUUCUUGCCUUUUAAUGGGACUUCCUGAAAAUUAUGAAAUUCAUAGGUACCUGCAAAAUCAAAAACUAGGUUAGCAAAAUAAUUAGCAAGAGUAUUUCGUUAUACUCUUACUGUCAAAAGAGCCUUUUAGCCUUCUAAUGGAGUUGACCUCCAUUGUCACACUCCAAGGAACUUCUCUUAGUUGUAUUAUUUUUAAAAAGGAAAAAGGGAAUUGUCCGUUUUGUA